UCCCCAUGACAACGGGCGAAGAGACACCUUGUUGGUGGUGGUGGUUUUGUAUCACUCAUGGGCAGAACAGAUGACAGUCCUUUGUUCACUCUAGCUUGGUGCCUGGGUUGAUGGCCAAAGCUGUCUUAUGUCUAUGACGCAUAG